UUGAUGCAUUAAUUAUUAUUCGUCCCGUGACGAGGUUAGGUAAAUACAAGAAUUCUAUUGUACAAACGUAACGAAUGUUUAUUAUCAAUACGAGCAUUUAUAGUAAAAAAUAACCAAUAUUAUAUAUCGCGCGUUUACUCGAAUCGAAUCGAUAACAUCGAGCGUAAAAUAGAUAAUCAGGUCGAAUAUUUCCCGCGAUUAUACUCCAACACUCGUAACGAUAUCUGUUCUUACGUUUCUCUACCGAAUGUUUUUCAUUGAAACGAAAGAUAGAUGGAUCAAGACCGGUAUCCGACGCGAAGUUUAAUAAUGGCUUGGUAUGAUAAUCGAGGUAUAAAAGAUGGAGUAAUUUGCCGGCACGAUUCGCCGAGGAAUAGAACGAAUGGAGAUGGUUGGACGUUGGUGCUCACGAUUUGCACGGACGUUACCAUUUCCCUUUUCGUUGUGCUCGUUCUCCCCCUCCCCUCUCUCUCUCUUUCGUACAACGAAAAGCAACGCCGACCUCGAUCGUCGCCACGAGUUGCGAGCGCGCAAGUCAAUUUACGGGAGAAAAUAGGCACGUGAAAUUGUUUCGUCUAAGGUAGCGGUUCGUUUAGCCUUGGAUUCCGGGACGGCGGCAAAGGGGAACGAGACACGGAUCGUUUCGCCUCCGCGCCCUGGGCCACUGCCUAUCAUGCGAAUCCGAUGGAAUACUUCCGUGGAUAAACGCGAACACGUGCCACCCUACGCCCUCCAGCCACGGAUUAUUAAAUUAGACCGUUAGGUGGCCCCCGUGUCCCGCACGACCGUGAUUACGGACCGCCUCGAACGGAGCGGUUCCUGCUGCUACUCUUUGCCCUCAGCGAAACGAGGGACUGCAUUUUUUUCUCUUUCCACGUAUUCUCGAAUCCUGUCUCGAAGCAUCGCGCAACUAGCGAUGCGACGCCGCUCUCUGAAUUGCUUUCAAUCUAUUCGAAUUGAAUUUUAAGUACCGCGUCAGGCAUAAGUGCCACGAGCAAGAAGGGUGUUCUCGACUACCAAUUUUCUAGAAUUAACUAGAAUUAGAUAUUUUUGAAAUUAGACGACAAACAAGUAAGAACGAGUGGAACGAGGAUCACGAUUUUCCAUCCGUCCAAUUAUCUUCGAAAAGAAAACUGGUUACGGAUCAUUAUUAUCAUUUAUCAUUUAUCACACUGCGAUGAAAUCGGUUUUAUCACCGGUUGCGUAACGAUAUCGAUUUUCGGUGCAGCGAACGCACCGACAUCGCGUGUACGCAAUUGACAAUCGAUCACUCGGACCGGAAGAUUGCUCGCGAGAAGAAUCGAGAAAGAUGAUGGUCGAGAGAUGGAGAACGGAGAAGGAUCGAUGCACGCUGGUAUGCUCGCGUGCAUCGAGUGAGAAUGGCUCGUGCAUUAAAACCGAUAGAAAACGAUAUCGUUGUGGCAAACGAUAUAUAGCGUUUGCAGGCGCACGCGCAGCGACUUCAUUGAUUCUCGAAGGGGAAUGAGCAAGAGGGUUGCUUGCAUGUGCGAACGUUUGUGCAGGGAUCCGCGCACCUGUGCGCCUUCCGAUUCUGUUUACGCGUUCGUAUCUGUAGCGUUCGAUCUAGGGAGAGGAGGGGAUUGGGGAGGAACGAGAGCGAAAGAGAAAAAGAGAGAGGGUGGGAAGGAAGAGGAAAGGGAGAGAUGAAAGCGGAGAGAGAUGAGUACAAUAAUCGAAGGUCCUUUCAUUAAUGCGACGAGAAAGGCGACGGAGGCAAAGGGUGUAGUAGGUAAACGACGGGGUAAUCGAUCGGCAUCGGAGGGGUUGUGCCACCCUUCAUCGCGAUAUUUUCUUUCCAUUUUUCUCGUCAACCCCCUCCACUCAACCCCCCUCUCCCUUGUUGCUACUCCUCUUUCUCGUCGACGUCUAAAUCUGGGAGUAGCGGAAGCCUUGUUAUUGGAUGAAUCGUGGCCACGAGGUUCGAUAAAUUGUUUCCUCGUUUCGUGUAACACGAACGGGGUAUCCGAGGCGGAAUUCGUCGAGGCCGAUCGUUUAACGCUGUUUGUUUCUUUCUCCGUUAAUAAACGGGUAUUGUGCCUCGAAUAAAGGAAAACGCUUGUCCGCUUGUCGAGCGAAUUAUCGGAUAAAAGUAGAUUUCUCGCGCAAAAAUAAUUUUCAGUCGCCGAUAUUCGCAAAUUUCCUCGUCCAUCAUUCGAAGGAUCGGCCAUCUCUGCGUAUAAACGUGAACGAAACGGUUGAAAUCGAUAUUAAGAUCGGUGAUUAAUUGAAACAGAGACGGAUACGUACGGAGAUUUCAUCGUCCUUUGAGUCGAACGCUCUCCUUAUUCCCGAUGACGAUGCUUUUCUACGGUGGUUUCUGCCUCGUUCUCCUCUCGUACUUAGCGAAGAGAGACUCGGAUCGAGAAUCCCGACGCUUUUGAUCUUCUUCCUCCGCUUCUUCCUCCUUCUUGCCGUUCCAAAGUGACGUCCCUGUGGGACGAGACACGUCGGGACACGUGAAGGGACAAGGGUAUUGACAAUCCUUUAGACGGUACUUAGCGCCACUUUUUUCUCCUUCGUGCAUAUUCGAUUCCACGCGUCGCCAUCCUCUCACGCACGCCAUCUCUCUCAACGCCCAUUCCCGUGGAUCCGAAUUAAAUUUCUCGUGUUCGCGGAGUGAAAAAAAAGAAAGAAAGAAAGAAAGACAAAAAAGGAAAAGAAAAAAAGCCGCUCCUUCAACGAUACAUCGUCCCUUUGUGAAAAACUACACCUCUCCCACGUAUGAUUUCAAAAGCGCGUCGUUUUCCCCUUCUCCCUUCUCACCUCCUCUAUUCUUUCGCCUCUCUCUCUCUUUCUCCCCCCGCCUUUUCAAUCUUUGCGAAUCACGCGGACGCCGGAUGAGGAAGGAGAAUUUCCUCUCUCUCUCUUCUUCUCGACUUCUCAACCUCGCGACUGGAAAAAAAUCCCCUGAUUGAAAGUUAAUAUCGGGGUUAUAUGCGGAUGUUCCGAUACACCGGUGGUUAUUAUUUCUUAUAUUUCUCCCCGUCGACGAUCCACUCGACCGUUCGAGAAACUACCCCCGGCGUUUUAUGGGGCCAUACCAGAGAUUGAAGUCUGAGAUACGCGAUUAGCAAACCCUCUGGCAAGGGUUCUCGGUCUCGAGAACAAGCGAUCAAUCGAAUCUCUCGAGACUGUCGCCCCUUAUUACAUAUUCUUGCCAACAAUAUUGCCAAUGACGCUAUUGGGAGGGUGGGGGAGGCGGUGGGAGAGAGGCAAAAAUUUCUCCUCGUCCCUAUUCGAUCGUCCAACUUCUCAUUUCCUUUUCGUUUAUUCUUUCCUUUUUUCUUCUUUUCUCUUUUUUCAUUCGCAUUUUUCGUUUCGAGGAUUCGAAGAGGGGGUGCCAACGUGCCACGAGGGACAGCGAACAACGCAUCCCCGCGCGCAACGGUAUUCGACCUCUCAGGAUAGAGCUGAUCAACCGGAUCUCGAGGGAGGAUAUCGACUCAUCACGAAGAGGGGAUACCUUUACGCAUCUGUUUCCUUCCAUCCAUAUCUCAAUUUCUAUCUUCGGCCGUUUGAAUUGACCGUCACCGACUUCAUUUCUCGCGGAAUUUUCGUUACUGCCAACGAACGAGAGAUGGCCCCUCUCGAAGAGACCAUCGAUGCGCCUUCCAACGUUUUCUGAACGUUUUUCGCCCUUCUCCGCAAUUCUCGUACCCUCUGCGGAAGAGGACCGAUAGAAAUUUGAAUUUCAAUAGUUUAAGCUAACGAGAUUUUUUUCCCUCUUUGUUCGUGACUUUAAGGACUUUAAGGACUUCAAUUAAUAACACUUCGUUCGGAUGAUAAUUUCGCACGAAUGAAACACGUAAAUUAUUACAGAAUUGUUGAAAGAGCAAAUCGAUUCAAAUUCCGUUCGUAUUCAACGCGACAAAGAUAGAUCUCGCAUGUUUGUAAUUCAAAUAAUAGAAGCCCGACUAAAAUUAUAAUAACCAAGCACCGUGAAAAUUUCAUUCGUGUAAACAAAAUUCCAGUUUGAUUAUAUCCAGUUUUACUCAAUUUGAUCGCGCGAUUUCAAAUAAAUGCCCGUAAAAAAUGAAAGCCGUUUAAAUUGGGAAAUGGAAAUAUCUGUUGACGAAUAAUUAACGAAUGGAAUCGGAUCAAAGGGUCGCGCUAGAAACGAGAUUGAACCAUAAUAAAGCUCGUGCGAGAUUUUACAGAGAAGGUAACGUUAAUUUCGAACACGGUGACAAUUCGGUGAAACCGCAUUUUCACUUUUCCCGCGGAAGUCUCACUGAAAUUGCCCGUUUUAUUUGUCGCCGCGCGCCACGUAACGCCUGGUUUCCGGCGUUUUUGAUACCGCUGCUUUUGCGUAUUCAGUUUCAUCCGAUAACCCGAGAUCGCGCCUGGGGGAGCUUUGUCUCUCUUUCUCUCUUUCUCUCCCUUUCCCUGUCUCUCUCUCUCUGCAAAAUAUACAAAAAUAUACGGUGAUAGCUCGUGGCGCGAAGUUAUUACGCGUAAUAUCCGUGGCGUGGAUGUGCAUUAGGGAAUGGAACGAGUGUUUCCUUUCCAAAGAGCUUCUAUCAUCAAUAGAAGUCUCGUCUCGUCUCUAGAAACGUGGCGAUGAAAACGUCGCUUCGUUCUUUCCUAACUUUGAUUCGUGACUCGUUUAAAUCGCGAGAAAGUGAAAUUUCAUUUAUACAAUCUCGUAAUUUAUUACAUUUUUAUUCGCGAAAGCCCGACUUUUUCAACAAUUCCAGCUUUUUCUUUUCUUUUUUUUUUUUUUUUUCGAAACGAGGUAACCGUGCCACAAAGAGCUUUGACGGUUCGUUGAAGAUUCGCGAAACAAACCCAACCGUGGAAUUUGUGAGACUUUUGCCGCGCAUCGUGCGAGAAAACUAUAUUUUCUGUGUCAAUGAGGUAACUUUUAAUUGGUAAAAAAAAAAAAAAUACUCGGUUGGAUGAUUGUUACCAGCUCUAAAAUUAUUACAUAUUUUUCAUUCUCUUUAGGAAUAUUAUCUUUCCUCGUUGUUUUGCGGACUGUGGUGGAUGCUCCCGUUUGUAAAUAAAUAAAUAAAUAAAUAAAUAAACGGAAGAAAUCGAGGCAAGAAAAAGAUGGGUAAACGAACGCAAUAUAAAUUAUUAUGAACGUGAACUGUUUCGAACUGUUUCCCAUGAUCCCUCCCUACCGUACCGUGCACUUGUAUACAUUUUUCAUAUUCCUCGAUCAUUCACGAUCAUUGGUUAGAAUCUACCUUCGCAAAAUUGUAUUACUCUCUCGAUCGCAUGUAACUUUGUUGCGCGAAACAAAAAAAAAAGAAAA